UGGGAAUAUUGGACAAUGGGCGAAAGCCUGAUCCAGCCAUGCCGCGUGUGUGAAGAAGGUCUUCGGAUUGUAAAGCACUUUAAGUUGGGAGGAAGGGCAUUUACCUAAUACGUAAGUGUUUUGACGUUACCGACAGAAUAAGCACCGGCUAACUCUGUGCCAGCAGCCGCGGUAAUACAGAGGGUGCAAGCGUUAAUCGGAAUUACUGGGCGUAAAGCGCGCGUAGGUGGUUUGUUAAGUUGGAUGUGAAAUCCCCGGGCUCAACCUGGGAACUGCAUUCAAAACUGACAAGCUAGAGUAUGGUAGAGGGUGGUGGAAUUUCCUGUGUAGCGGUGAAAUGCGUAGAUAUAGGAAGGAACACCAGUGGCGAAGGCGACCACCUGGACUGAUACUGACACUGAGGUGCGAAAGCGUGGGGAGCAAACGGAUUAGAUACCCUGGUAGUCCACGCCGUAAACGAUGUCAACUAGCCGUUGGGAGCCUUGAGCUCUUAGUGGCGCAGCUAACGCAUUAAGUUGACCGCCUGGGGAGUACGGCCGCAAGGUUAAAACUCAAAUGAAUUGACGGGGUCAUAGCUGUUUCCUG
rnacentral:rRNA from 1 species